CCCGGCGGCCGCACGACAGCAUCCACGCUGUUCUGGUUCAAACGUCGUUGUGUAGUCAUGCUGAACAUCAUCAUGGAGGGGCUCACUCAGCCCCUGCAGAUUUCCUCCAACGGUGCUUACUCCCUCGGUCUCCUGCUUGCCCUCUCAACGGGACCACUUCCGCUGGCUAGUGAGCACAUCAUCGGCGCGUACCUUGCUCUGCAGCUCAUGUGGUGGCUACUGCUGUGUAUUCGUGCAGCACGCGCGGCCGGGUCGCAGUCGGCGCGUCGAGAGCUCAAAGAGAGGGCGAAGGAGGCAUAUCUCAAGUGGAUGGACGGAUUGCGCUUCAGUGUCGCCGAGCUUAUUUGCCACCAUCUCCUGCACUUCGAGUUUGGCGCACAAGUCUGCAUGUUCUACUGUGGCACCGGUGCGCUGCGCACGGUGGCGAGACCGUUACUUUACGUGAUACUUCGCCUGAGCGCUGGAUCGGAGUGGGCCACCCGUUUAACCGGGUACAACCCUGCCUACCUUCUGGAAUCCGUAGGCUGCGGCAACAGGACGGAGUUUGCAAGUGGUCCUGCGUGGAAGCAGCACGGGCAUGCUAGUGGUGCGGGUGUCGAGGCGACAUCGGCGCAGGUGCGGGUGUCGAGCCUGGCGCCGACGAAGCACUCAGAUAGCGCGAAGAAUAACAACAACCGCUGCACAGUGUUGGACGAGGGGCCGCACUUUAACCGCACCUCCCGUGGGUGCAUGCUGAAGUACACUGAGUGACUGACUCAGCCCCGCACACAAGCUGACACGCGUAUGCACAAAGGGCGAUGCACUUGGAUGCGCACGAGUGGUUGCGGCUUGCUGUUGUGGUAUUGCACGUUUGGGGCAAGGUCGUGCUCGCUAUGCCCACGUGUAAGAUUGGCCAUCGUAAGGUGGAGGAUCUUUCUGAUUCCAGGAACCGGCUCACGAGCGUGACGCACGUAGACGUCGCGCUUCCACAUGCAGACGUGUACGCGUGUCAUCGUGCAAGAUAGCUGGCGAUGCCCGCCUCGCACGGCGUCGCUGACAACGAGAGACAAAACACCGAGCUCGCUGUCCCUAGAGACACUAGCACGGCUGCGCGCCGUCUCUCACACCUCGUGCUGUGGGCGCGAUUGUGUCCCACUUGCAUGCGUGGGCCCUCGCCUUGUCGAGGAGCUGUUUUUC
rnacentral:misc_RNA from 1 species